rnacentral:rRNA from 1 species
CCUACGGGUGGCUGCAGUGAGGAAUAUUGGUCAAUGGGCGGAAGCCUGAACCAGCCAAGUAGCGUGCAGGAAGAAGGCCCUACGGGUCGUAAACCGCUUUUGCACGGGGAUAACACUCACCACGUGUGGAGGUCUGCAGGUACCGUGCGAAUAAGGGCCGGCUAAUUCCGUGCCAGCAGCCGCGGUAAUACGGAGGGCCCGAGCGUUAUCCGGAUUUAUUGGGUUUAAAGGGAGGGUAGGCGGGGGUUCAAGUUAGCGGGAAAAUCGCGCGGCUUAACCGGGACCCGCAGUUGAUACUGGGCGCCUUGAGUGUACAACAGGCAGGCGGAAUGUGUGGUGUAGCGGUGAAAUGCAUAGAGAUC